rnacentral:rRNA from 1 species
CUUUUUGAUUAUAAUUUAAAGUCUAGCCUGCCCAAUGAUAAAUAUUAAAUGGCCGCGGUAUUUUGACCGUGCAAAGGUAGCAUAAUCAUUAGUUUCUUAAUUAGAAGCUGGAAUGAAGGGUUGGAUGAAAAAAUAUCUGUCUCUAUCAAAAUUAAUUAGAAUUUUAUUUUUAAGUUAAAAAGCUUAAAUUGGUGUAAAAGACGAGAAGACCCUAUAGAGUUUAAUAUAUAAAAAAAUUAAAUUUAUUUUAGAAUUUUAAAUUAAUUAAUUUUGUAUAAUAUUUAAUUGGGGUGAUUAAAAAAUUAAAUUAACUUUUUUUUUAUUUUAACAAUAAUUAUUGAUAAAUUGAUCCUUUAUUAAAGAUUAAAAGAAUAAAUUACCUUAGGGAUAACAGCGUAAUUUUUUUUUAGAGUUCUAAUCGAAAAAAAAGAUUGCGACCUCGAUGUUGGAUUAAAAUUUAAUUUUGGUGUAGAAGCUAAA